UAUAUAUAAUUGCAAGAUAUUUGUUUCCUCCCUUACGGAGUAAAUAUGCCAUUGCAAUUUAUCUUAUGCAGUGGAAGCACCAUAGUAGGAGUUGGCUCUCCAGAUCCACCACAAUUUGUAUAUGACGAUGAAGAAUAUCAGGAUGUAUUUUUGUCAGAAGCCAGCUUUAUUACUCGCGAACCUAAUCAGUGGUACAGAGAACCUUAUGCAAGCAGUGCUGGUGCCGAUUCGACUGCAGACUUUGCUCAAAGUGUUUAAGACUAAAUAUGUGAAACUUUCCUGUAAUUGUAGCUCUGUUUCCCUUUCCUGCCGUAAUGUUGUUGUGCUUAAACACUUAUGAACAACAUUAGUUGCUAUUAUUAUUCUUAUCACAUUGAUGUUAGUUUUAAAGUUGAUCACAAAACACACUUUAACAUUUCUGUGUCUUUUUACACCUCUUUGUUUUCAAUAAAAGAUGCACUAAAUGGUAAA